CCUACGGGCGGCUGCAGUGGGGAAUAUUGCACAAUGGGCGCAAGCCUGAUGCAGCCAUGCCGCGUGUGUGAAAAAGGCCUUCGGGUUGUAAAGCACUUUCAGCGGGGAGGAAGGCGUUAAGGUUAAUAACCUUGGCGAUUGACGUUACCCGCAGAAGAAGCACCGGCUAACUCCGUGCCAGCAGCCGCGGUAAUACGGAGGGUGCAAGCGUUAAUCGGAAUUACUGGGCGUAAAGCGCACGCAGGCGGUCUGUCAAGUCGGAUGUGAAAUCCCCGGGCUCAACCUGGGAACUGCAUUCGAAACUGGCAGGCUAGAGUCUUGUAGAGGGGGGUAGAAUUCCAGGUGUAGCGGUGAAAUGCGUAGAGACCUGGAGGAAUACCGGUGGCGAAGGCGGCCCCCUGGACAAAGACUGACGCUCAGGUGCGAAAGCGUGGGGAGCAAACAGGAUUAGAUACCCCUGUAGUC
rnacentral:rRNA from 1 species